GACGAACGCUGGCGGCGUGCUUAACACAUGCAAGUCGAACGGUAAGGCCCUUCGGGGUACACGAGUGGCGAACGGGUGAGUAACACGUGGGUGAUCUGCCCUGCACUUCGGGAUAAGCCUGGGAAACUGGGUCUAAUACCGGAUAGGACCACUGCCUGCAUGGGUGGUGGUGGAAAGCUUUUGCGGUGUGGGAUGGGCCCGCGGCCUAUCAGCUUGUUGGUGGGGUGAUGGCCUACCAAGGCGACGACGGGUAGCCGGCCUGAGAGGGUGACCGGCCACACUGGGACUGAGAUACGGCCCAGACUCCUACGGGAGGCAACAGUGAGGAAUAUUGCACAAUGGGCGCAAGCCUGAUGCAGCGACGCCGCGUGAGGGAUGACGGCCUUCGGGUUGUAAACCUCUUUCAGCACCGACGAAGCGCAAGUGACGGUAGGUGCAGAAGAAGGACCGGCCAACUACGUGCCAGCAGCCGCGGUAA
rnacentral:rRNA from 1 species